GAUGAAGAACGUAGCGAAAUGCGAUAAGUAAUGUGAAUUGCAGAAUUCAGUGAAUCAUCGAAUCUUUGAACGCACAUUGCGCCCGGCAGUACUCUGCCGGGCAUGCCUGUUCGAGCGUCAUUUCAACCCUCAAGCCCUGCUUGGUGUUGGGGCCCCACGGCUGCCGUGGGCCCUGAAAGGAAGUGGCGGGCUCGCUACAACUCCGAGCGUAGUAAUUCAUUAUCUCGCUUAGGGCGUUGGGCGGCGCUCCAGCCGUUAAAGAACCAUCUUUAUCUCAAGGUUGACCUCGGAUCAGGUAGGAAUACCCGCUGAACUUAAGCAUAUCAAUAAGCGGAGGA
rnacentral:misc_RNA from 1 species